rnacentral:rRNA from 1 species
AGUGGGGAUUGACAUGGGGGAACCCUGAUGCAGCCAUGCCGCGUGUGUGAAGAAGGCCUUCGGGUUGUAAAGCACUUUCAGCGAGGAGGAAAGGGUGUAAGUUAAUACCUUACAUCUGUGACGUUACUCGCAGAAGAAGCACCGGCUAACUCCGUGCCAGCAGCCGCGGUAAUACGGAGGGUGCGAGCGUUAAUCGGAAUUACUGGGCGUAAAGCGUGCGCAGGCGGUUUGUUAAGCGAGAUGUGAAAGCCCCGGGCUCAACCUGGGAACCGCAUUUCGAACUGGCAAACUAGAGUCUUGUAGAGGGGGGUAGAAUUCCAGGUGUAGCGGUGAAAUGCGUAGAGAUCUGGAGGAAUACCGGUGGCGAAGGCGGCCCCCUGGACAAAGACUGACGCUCAGGCACGAAAGCGUGGGGAGCAAACAGGAUUAGAUACCCUGGUAGUCCACGCCGUAAACGAUGUCUACUCGGAGUUUGGUGUCUUGAACACUGGGCUCUCAAGCUAACGCAUUAAGUAGACCGCCUGGGGAGUACGGCCGCAAGGUUAAAACUCAAAUGAAUUGACGGGGGCCCGCACAAGCGGUGGAGCAUGUGGUUUAAUUCGAUGCAACGCGAAGAACCUUACCUACUCUUGACAUCCACAGAAUCUGGUAGAGAUACCUCAGUGCCUUCAGGAACUGUGAGACAGUGCUGCAUGGCUGUCGUCAGCUCGUGUUGUGAAUGUUGGGUUAAGUCCCGCAACGAGCGCACCCUAUCUUACUGCCAGCGGGUAUGCCGGAACUUAAGGAGACUGCCCGUGAUAACCGAAG